AACGGAGAGCAUAAACCCUCCCUAAGACU
rnacentral:tRNA from 1 species